GAUGAAGAACGUAGUGAAAUGCGAUAAGUAAUGUGAAUUGCAGAAUUCAGUGAAUCAUCGAAUCUUUGAACGCACAUUGCGCCCCUUGGUAUUCCGGGGGGCAUGCCUGUUCGAGCGUCAUUAUAACCCCUCAAGCUCAGCUUGGUGUUGGGGCCUGCCAACUGGCAGCCCUUAAAAUCAGUGGCGGCGCCAUCUGGCUCUAAGCGUAGUAAUUUCUCUCGCUAUAGGGUCCAGGUGGAUGCUGGCCAGCAACCCCCAAUUUUCUAUGGUUGACCUCGGAUCAGGUAGGGAUACCCGCUGAACUUAAGCAUAUCAAUAAGCGGAGGA
rnacentral:misc_RNA from 1 species